UACGUAGGGUGCAAGCGUUGUCCGGAAUUAUUGGGCGUAAAGAGCUCGUAGGCGGUUUGUUGCGUCGGCUGUGAAAUCCCGAGGCUCAACCUCGGGUCUGCAGUCGAUACGAGCAAACUAGAGUGUUGCAGGGGAGACUGGAAUUCCUGGUGUAGCGGUGAAAUGCGCAGAUAUCAGGAGGAACACCGGUGGCGAAGGCGGGUUGCUGGGCUGACACUGACGCUGAUGCGCGAAAGCUAGGGGAGCGAACGGG
rnacentral:rRNA from 1 species